GAUGAACGCUAGCGGCAGGCUUAACACAUGCAAGUCGAGGGGCAGCGUGGAGCAGCAAUGCUCUGACGGCGACCGGCGGAAGGGUGCGUAACACGUGAGCGACUUGCCCGUCACAGGGGGAUAACCGGCGGAAACGGCGACUAAUACCCCAUACGAUGCGAUGCUGCAUGGCAUUGCAUUGAAAGAUUCAUCGGUGGCGGAUAGGCUCGCGGGACAUUAGCUAGACGGCGGGGCAACGGCCCACCGUGGCGACGAUGUCUAGGGGUUCUGAGAGGAAGGCCCCCCANACUGGGACUGAGACACGGCCCAGACUCCUACGGGAGGCAGCAGUGAGGAAUAUUGGUCAAUGGGCGGAAGCCUGAACCAGCCAUGCCGCGUGAAGGACUAAGGCCCUACGGGUCGUAAACUUCUUUAGACGCAGAGCAAUAAGGUCCACGUGUGGACCGAUGAGAGUAUGCGUAGAAUAAGCAUCGGCUAACUCCG
rnacentral:rRNA from 1 species